CGCUCAAAACUGGCCAAUUGGGAAAAGACGCUUGAACUUCCUGGCUUUCACGCCAGGAAGUGCCACCCAACUCCACCUACUUCCUGGCUCAGGGCUGCAGGCAGGGGGCACACAGGCCAGGACCAGGGACUCAACUGGGCCUGCUCAAAGGAAGUCGCUGCCCAGCUCCAUGCCCCUCCCCGCGCCUUAGGGUGUGUGGUGCUGAAACAAUUUAGACGGAGAGAGAAGGAUGAUGGCUGCUGGCUCAGUGCCUCAGAGAUCCGCAGGCUGCUCAGAAUUGUAGGACUUUCUUGGUCUCCUGACGUCCCUGCUCAAGGCUUCUCUUCCCCGAGGCUCAGAGCGGCUCCUGGCUCCCACGCAUGCCCGCUUCAUUCUUCCUAUGAAAUUCAAAGAAAAUCCAAACCUUUUUCUUGGAGUACUGGCCCCAACAGAAGCCAGAGGCCCAGGAAGCACAGGGGCCUGUCGAUGCCGCCCCUGCAGCCGCGCGCAGGGAGCACCCCAGGAGGAGAGACCUGGACUUCCUCAGAUGCCUGGGGGCCAGGUGGAGGCCGCUGCAGCUCCCAGGAGAGAGAGUAUUUUUCAUUCCAAUUUGUGCCCUUCGUGUUCUGGGCUCCGAGGAAGCAACAGCAGGAGAGAUGGACACAGCCCUGCCCGCCCUGGAGCCCCAGCCUGUCAGGGAAGAUGACAGAGGGAGGUGACAACGGUGGACCCCUGCCUGCCCUCUGGAGACUUGUCCUCUCACAGGCUCCUGGGGGUGGACUGUGGCACCUAAAUCAGCAAUGACAGUCCAGAGACCCCCUAGAGACCCCCCAGAGUGCAGUAAAAGCACAAAGUGGGAGGGCUGACUAACUGUGGGUAUCAGGGAGGGCUUCCCAGAGGAGACAAUGAAUUGGCACCAGGAGGAAAGGCA
rnacentral:lncRNA from 1 species